rnacentral:snRNA from 1 species
AUCGCUUCUCGGCCUUUUGGCUAAGAUCAAGUGUAGUAUCUGUUCUUAUCAGUUUAAUAUCUGAUACGUCCCCUAUCUGGGGACCAUAUAUUAAAUGGAUUUUUGGAACAGGGAGUUGGAAGAAGAGCUUGCUCUGUCCACUCCACGCAUCGACCUGGUAUUGCAGUACCUCCAGGACCGGUGCACUU